CAAAAUUUAAAGACUGAUUGAUUGGGUCCCAGCUCAUACUCCACAACUACCAAAACGGACUGCCCAGACCUACCCAGACCUACCGCUUACCGGGAUGGCUGGAGGGAGUUUGCCCAACUAACACUAAAGAGUGUGAAAUUAAAUAAGACUUUAAGACCUGUAAUCGGUGGCAAACACCAGCUGAAGACAUGCCUGACCCUGCGUUCCAUACUUCCCUCCCGGAGGGUCUUUCUUUGAAGGGGAGUGGAGCUGGCAGAGCUCAAGCUGAGAAUCUCUACGUUGAAUGAGAGAUGACCUUGAAAAUCUGUACGACUCUUUGCAACUCCUCAGUUUU
rnacentral:lncRNA from 1 species